UUUUAAAACCUCCACCAACCCCCCUCCCCAAGUAUGGGUUUGCGUGAGGGCAUGUUUCUCUUUCAGACAUGAAUGUAUUGGGAUUAAUCGUUCUAAGAGAGAAUACUGAAUACAUGGAUGAGCAUUCAGACAAAAGGAAUAUAUAAAUAGCAGAAGCCUUGGGAAAAGCAUCAUCUUCAGAUUCAGAUUCGAGAUCCAUUCCUCUUCUCUUUCUACUCUUCUUCUACUUGUUUUUCCAUUUAUUAGCGUUGAGAUCUCCAGAUCCUUCCUUCGGGUUGCUCGGUCUUUGUGUUGGUUUCUAUUGCAGGGAAAUUGCAUCAACCGGCCCUUGUGUUGGAUUGCAGGGGUUUGCAUCAAUCUUAAUCUCAUCCAACACCCGGUUGAAUUAACGAGAGAUCCGAAAUGUUGAAGGAAGAGGAGAGGUGCAAAAACUAGGGUUCUUACUUCCAACCCUAGCGAUUCUCCUCCAAAAUGAGAGAUCUUGCUCUCCGGUUGGCCACUCGCCAAAUUACUUUUUUCUCAGAAGUUGUAGGUGUGCCUGGAGUGACAGCCACUACGCCUUUCCAGAUCAAGUCAUUAAAACGGCUGGAUGAGGACCUGAAUCAAUUUGCUGAAGCUUUGAAGCAAGGUUUGAAUAAGUCAUCAGGCUAAUUGAUAUAAAGUUUGAACCUGUGCUUGAUUGACAUCUUAUUGUAGCUUUUGAUCACUCUAUGUUUGUUAGAAAAUUCUCUUUAUUUUUGGUUUCAUGCUACAUUAAUCUUUGCUUUUAAAUUGUAAUUUGCAUGUACAUGUUUUGCCAUUGUUGUCCUAAGUCUUGACUUUUGUGUCUACUGCAUUACUUUGCUUGGUAUUUGCUUCUUUUA